rnacentral:rRNA from 1 species
CAGUCGCCGCGGUAAUACGUAGGGUGCAAGCGUUAUCCGGAAUUAUUGGGCGUAAAGAGCUCGUAGGCGGUUUGUCGCGUCUGCUGUGAAAACUGGAGGCUCAACCUCCAGCCUGCAGUGGGUACGGGCAGACUAGAGUGCGGUAGGGGAGAUUGGAAUUCCUGGUGUAGCGGUGGAAUGCGCAGAUAUCAGGAGGAACACCGAUGGCGAAGGCAGAUCUCUGGGCCGUAACUGACGCUGAGGCACGAAAGCGUGGGGAGCAAACAGGAUUAGAGACCCCAGUAGUCCCUGUCUCUUAUAC